CACAUACUCCCUCCGUCCAACAAAAGAUGUUUCAAGUUUGUCGAAAUUUGAAUGUAUCUAGACAUGAGUUAGUGUAUAGAUGCAUUCAAAUUUAAUCAAAAUUGAGACAUCUUUUGUUGGACAGAGGAAUACUUU
rfam:Brachypodium distachyon strain Bd21 chromosome 4, whole genome shotgun sequence.